rnacentral:misc_RNA from 1 species
GCAAACUUGGUCAUUUAGAGGAAGUAAAAGUCGUAACAAGGUUUCCGUAGGUGAACCUGCGGAAGGAUCAUUAACGUAUCUACGACGGUGAGGGGUGCGCCCUGCUCCGGCCUCGGGGCCGUGCAGCGGGCCUCCCCGAUCCGCUCGACCCUCACAAACCCACCGUGCACCUUUGUCGGCGGAGGGUGCGGAUCCCCCGUGGGUCUGCGCCCGAGCCGGAUCACAGACUCCAAAGUCCACAGAACGUGACGCGGACGACGUGCCGCCUAAUCUUGUAACAACUUUCAACAACGGAUCUCUUGGCUCUCGCAUCGAUGAAGAACGCAGC